GACGAACCGUGCAACCGUUGUUCGGAAUCACUGGGCUUAAAGGGCGCGUAGGCGGGCAAGCAAGUCCGGGGUGAAAUCUUUCGGCCCAACCGGAAAAGGGCCUUGGAUACUGCUUGUCUGGAGGGAGGUAGGGGCAGACGGAACUUCCGGGUGUAGCGGUGGAAUGCGCAGAUAUCAGGAGGAACACCGGUGGCGAAGGCGGGUCUCUGGGCAGUAACUGACGCUGAGGAGCGAAAGCGUGGGGAGCGAACAGG
rnacentral:rRNA from 1 species